CCUUGAUGUGUAGGAUAGGUGGGAGGCUUUGAAGUGUGGACGCCAGUCUGCAUGGAGCCGGCCUUGAAAUACCACCCUUUAAUGUUUGAUGUUCUAACGUUGGCCCCUGAUCGGGGUUGCGGACAGUGUCUGGUGGGUAGUUUGACUGGGGCGGUCUCCUCCUAAAGAGUAACGGAGGAGCACGAAGGUUGGCUAAUCCUGGUCGGACAUCAGGAGGUUAGUGCAAUGGCAUAAGCCAGCUUGACUGCGAGCGUGACGGCGCGAGCAGGUGCGAAAGCAGGUCAUAGUGAUCCGGUGGUUCUGAAUGGAAGGGCCAUCGCUCAACGGAUAAAAGGUACUCCGGGGAUAACAGGCUGAUACCGCCCAAGAGUUCAUAUCGACGGCGGUGUUUGGCACCUCGAUGUCGGCUCAUCACAUCCUGGGGCUGAAGUAGGUCCCAAGGGUAUGGCUGUUCGCCAUUUAAAGUGGUACGCGAGCUGGGUUUAGAACGUCGUGAGACAGUUCGGUCCCUAUCUGCCGUGGGCGCUGGAGAACUGAGGGGGGCUGCUCCUAGUACGAGAGGACCGGAGUGGACGCAUCACUGGUGUUCGGGUUGUCAUGCCAAUGGCACUGCCCGGUAGCUAAAUGCGGAAGAGAUAAGUGCUGAAAGCAUCUAAGCACGAAACUUGCCCCGAGAUGAGUUCUCCCUGACUCCUUGAGAGUCCUGAAGGAACGUUGAAGACGACGACGUUGAUAGGCCGGGUGUGUAAGCGCAGCGAUGCGUUGAGCUAACCGGUACUAAUGAACCGUGAGGCUUAACCUUACAA
rnacentral:rRNA from 1 species